UGGGAUGUGGCGAAAUGGUAGCCGCGCUGGAUUUAGGAUCCUGUGGGGUGCUCCCCCGUGCAAGUUCAAGUCUUGUCAUCCCUA
rnacentral:tRNA from 1 species